rnacentral:rRNA from 1 species
UACGUAGGGUGCGAGCGUUAAUCGGAAUUACUGGGCGUAAAGCGUGCGCAGGCGGUUUUGUAAGACAGAUGUUAAAUCCCCGGGCUUAACCUGGGAACUGCGUUUGUGACUGCAAGACUCGAGUACGGCAGAGGGGGGUGGAAUUCCACGUGUAGCAGUGAAAUGCGUAGAGAUGUGGAGGAACACCGAUGGCGAAGGCAGCCCCCUGGGUCGAUACUGACGCUCAUGCACGAAAGCGUGGGGAGCAAACAGG